GAAUAAAGAAAGCAUGAUAAUGUGCACAAAAAUUAAUUUGGGUCUUUAGGCUUGCUCUCUCUGAUGACUUUUGGAUGUGAUUUGGGGGCAUGAUAUUGAUUCCACAGCA